rnacentral:Y_RNA from 1 species
GGCUGGUCUGAUGGUAGUGAGUUAUCAGAACUUAUUAACAUUAGUGUCACUAAAGUUGGUAUUCAACACUCCACUGCUAAGUUUGACUGGCUAAAA